rnacentral:rRNA from 1 species
GAUGAACGCUGGCGGCGUGCCUAAUACAUGCAAGUCGAGCGAACAGACGAGGAGCUUGCUCCUCUGACGUUAGCGGCGGACGGGUGAGUAACACGUGGAUAACCUACCUAUAAGACUGGGAUAACUUCGGGAAACCGGAGCUAAUACCGGAUAAUAUAUUGAACCGCAUGGUUCAAUAGUGAAAGACGGUUUUGCUGUCACUUAUAGAUGGAUCCGCGCCGCAUUAGCUAGUUGGUAAGGUAACGGCUUACCAAGGCGACGAUGCGUAGCCGACCUGAGAGGGUGAUCGGCCACACUGGAACUGAGACACGGUCCAGACUCCUACGGGAGGCAGCAGUAGGGAAUCUUCCGCAAUGGGCGAAAGCAUGACGGAGCAACGCCGAGUGAGUGAUGAAGGUCUUCGGAUCGUAAAACUCUGUUAUUAGUGAAGAACAAAUGUGUAAGUAACUAUGCACGUCUUGACGGUACCUAAUCAGAAAGCCACGGCUAACUACGUG